rnacentral:rRNA from 1 species
CCCUUAGAUGCUCUGGGCCGCACGCGCGCUACACUGGUCGAUGCAACGAGUUUCUUUCCUUGGCCGACAGGCCUGGGCAAUCUUUGAACAUCGAUCGUGAUCGGGAUAGAUUCUUGUAAUUUUUGAUCUUAAACGAGGAAUUCCUAGUAAACGCAAGUCAUCAGCUUGCAUUGAUUACGUCCCUGCCCUUUGUACACACCGCCCGUCGCACCUACCGAUUGAAUGGUCCGGUGAGCUAUUCGGACCUUCGCUUCGUCGAUUUUCGGCUUUGUGAGGGAAAGUCUCGCGAACCUUAUCAUCUAGAGGAAGGAGAANUCGUANCA